rnacentral:rRNA from 1 species
UUGUUCGGAAUUACUGGGCGUAAAGGGUGCGUAGGCGGUCCGCUAAGUUGGAUGUGAAAACUCUGGGCUUAACCCAGAGCCUGCAUUCAAAACUGACGGGCUAGAGUUCUGGAGGGGGUAGCGGAAUUCCUGGUGUAGCGGUGAAAUGCGUAGAUAUCAGGAGGAACACCGGUGGCGAAGGCGGCUACCUGGACAGAAACUGACGCUGAGGCACGAAAGCUAGGGGAGCAAACAGG